rnacentral:rRNA from 1 species
UUGAACGCUGGCGGCAGGCCUAACACAUGCAAGUCGAGCGGUUGAGAGUAGCUUGCUACUUGAUGCAGCGGCGGACGGGUGAGUAACGCGUGGGAAUCUGCCCAGUAGUGGGGGACAACAGCCGGAAACGGCUGCUAAUACCGCAUACGCCCUACGGGGGAAAGGGGGGGAUCUUCGGACCUCUCGCUAUUGGAUGAGCCCGCGUCGGAUUAGCUAGUUGGUAGGGUAAAGGCCUACCAAGGCUACGAUCCGUAACUGGUCUGAGAGGAUGAUCAGUAACACUGGAACUGAGACACGGUCCAGACUCCUACGGGAGGCAGCAGUGGGGAAUAUUGGACAAUGGGGGAAACCCUGAUCCAGCCAUGCCGCGUGUGUGAAGAAGGCCUUAGGGUUGUAAAGCACUUUCAGUGGGGAGAAAGGUUUGUCACCUAAUACGUGAUGAAAUUGAUGUUACCCACAGAAGAAGCACCGGCUAACUCCGUGCCAGCAGCCGCGGUAA